rnacentral:rRNA from 1 species
CAGCAGCAGCCGCGGUAAUACGGAGGGUGCAAGCGUUAAUCGGAAUUACUGGGCGUAAAGCGCACGCAGGCGGUCUGACAAGUCAGAUGUGAAAUCCCCGGGCUUAACCUGGGAACUGCAUUUGAAACUGUCAGGCUGGAGUCUUGUAGAGGGGGGUAGAAUUCCAGGUGUAGCGGUGAAAUGCGUAGAGAUCUGGAGGAAUACCGGUGGCGAAGGCGGCCCCCUGGACAAAGACUGACGCUCAGGUGCGAAAGCGUGGGGAGCAAACAGGAUUAGAUACCCGUGUAGUCCCUGUCUCUUAUAC